GUGGGGAAUCUUAGACAAUGGGGGCAACCCUGAUCUAGCCAUGCCGCGUGAGUGAUGAAGGCCUUAGGGUUGUAAAGCUCUUUCAGUGGGGAAGAUAAUGACGGUACCCACAGAAGAAGCCCCGGCUAACUCCGUGCCAGCAGCCGCGGUAAUACGGAGGGGGCUAGCGUUGUUCGGAAUUACUGGGCGUAAAGCGCACGUAGGCGGAUCGGAAAGUUGGGGGUGAAAUCCCAGGGCUCAACCCUGGAACUGCCUUCAAAACUAUCGGUCUGGAGUCAGAGAGAGGUGAGUGGAAUUCCGAGUGUAGAGGUGAAAUUCGUUGAUAUUCGGAGGAACACCAGUGGCGAAGGCGGCUCACUGGCUCGGUACUGACGCUGAGGUGCGAAAGCGUGGGGAGCAAACAGGAUUAGAAACCCCUGUAGUCC
rnacentral:rRNA from 1 species